UAACACGUGAGCAACCUGCCCCUGGCUCUGGGACAACCACUGGAAACGGUGGCUAAUACCGGAUACGACCUACACAGGCAUCUGUUGUGGGUGGAAAGUUUUUCGGCUGGGGAUGGGCUCGCGGCCUAUCAGCUUGUUGGUGGGGUGAUGGCCUACCAAGGCGACGACGGGUAGCCGGCCUGAGAGGGCGACCGGCCACACUGGGACUGAGACACGGCCCAGACUCCUACGGGAGGCAGCAGUGGGGAAUAUUGCACAAUGGGCGAAAGCCUGAUGCAGCGACGCCGCGUGAGGGAUGACGGCCUUCGGGUUGUAAACCUCUUUCAGCUCCGAAGAAGCGCAAGUGACGGUAGGAGCAGAAGAAGCACCGGCUAACUACGUGCCAGCAGCCGCGGUAAUACGUAGGGUGCAAGCGUUGUCCGGAAUUAUUGGGCGUAAAGAGCUCGUAGGCGGUGUGUCGCGUCUGCUGUGAAAACUCAGGGCUCAACUCUGAGCUUGCAGUGGGUACGGGCACACUUGAGUGCUGUAGGGGAGACUGGAAUUCCUGGUGUAGCGGUGAAAUGCGCAGAUAUCAGGAGGAACACCGGUGGCGAA
rnacentral:rRNA from 1 species